rnacentral:rRNA from 1 species
CACGUAGGCACCAAGCGUUGUCCGGAUUUAUUGGGCGUAAAGAGCUCGUAGGCGGUUGAGUAAGUCGGGUGUGAAAACUCUGGGCUUAACCCAGAGCCGCCACUCGAUACUGCUCUGACUUGAGUACGGUAGGGGAGCAGGGAAUUCCUAGUGUAGCGGUGAAAUGCGCAGAUAUUAGGAGGAACACCGGUGGCGAAGGCGCUGCUCUGGGCCGAAACUGACGCUGAGACACGAAAGCGUGGGUAGCAAACAGG